ensembl:snRNA U6 U6 spliceosomal RNA
AUGCUGGAUUCGACAGCAUAUAUACUGAAAUUGGAACGAUACAGAGAAGAUUAACAUGGCCCCUUCUCAAGGAUGACACAAAAAUUCAUGAAGUUUUCCAUAUUUUU